ensembl:rRNA 5S_rRNA 5S ribosomal RNA
GUCUGCGGCCAUACCACCUGGCACACGCGCGAUCUCGCCUAAUCUCAGAAGCUAUGCAGGGUCGGGCCUGGUUAGUACCUGGAUGGUAGACCGCUUGGGAAUACUGGGUGCUGUAGGGU